AGUUUGAUCGUCAGAUUGAACGUGGCGGCAGGCUAACACAGCAAGUCGAGCGGAUGAAGGAGCUUGCUCCUGGAUUCAGCGGCGGACGGGUGAGUAAUGCCUAGGAAUCUGCCUGGUAGUGGGGGACAACGUUUCGAAAGGAACGCUAAUACCGCAUACGUCCUACGGGAGAAAGCAGGGGACCUUCGGGCCUUGCGCUAUCAGAUGAGCCUAGGUCGGAUUAGCUAGUUGGUGAGGUAAUGGCUCACCAAGGCGACGAUCCGUAACUGGUCUGAGAGGAUGAUCAGUCACACUGGAACUGAGACACGGACGGGAGGCAGCAUGGACAAGGAAAGCCUGAUCCAGCCAUGCCGCGUGUGUGAAGAAGGUCUUCGGAUUGUAAAGCACUUUAAGUUGGGAGGAAGGGCAGUAAAUUAAUACUUUGCUGUUUUGACGUUACCGACAGAAUAAGCACCGGCUAACCUGUGCCAGCAACAUCGGAAUUACUGGGCGUAAAGCGCGCGUAGGUGGUUUGUUAAGUUGGAUGUGAAAUCGGGCUCAACCUGGGGGCAAGCUAGAGUAUGGUGAGGGGUUGUAGAUAUAGGAAGCCAAGGCGACCACGG
rnacentral:rRNA from 1 species